UGGGGAAUUUUGGACAAUGGACGCAAGUCUGAUCCAGCCAUGCCGCGUGCGGGAAGAAGGCCUUCGGGUUGUAAACCGCUUUUGUCAGGGAAGAAAUCUUCUGAGUUAAUACCUCGGGAGGAUGACGGUACCUGAAGAAUAAGCACCGGCUAACUACGUGCCAGCAGCCGCGGUAAUACGUAGGGUGCAAGCGUUAAUCGGAAUUACUGGGCGUAAAGCGUGCGCAGGCGGUUAUGCAAGACAGGUGUGAAAUCCCCGAGCUCAACUUGGGAACUGCACUUGUGACUGCAUAGCUAGAGUACGGUAGAGGGGAGUGGAAUUCCGCGUGUAGCAGUGAAAUGCGUAGAUAUGCGGAGGAACACCGAUGGCGAAGGCAGCUCCCUGGACCUGUACUGACGCUCAUGCACGAAAGCGUGGGGAGCAAACAGG
rnacentral:rRNA from 1 species